AUGAAAGCAUUAUUCUGGAACAUCAGGGGUUUUGGUGCUAGGGGGCGCCGAGACCAGAUUAUUGAUCUAGUUCGUGGGGAUAAUAUUGAUAUUGUUGGGUUAGUUGAAACCUUUAAAGACUCCUUCUCUCCCAAUGAACUUUCUGCGAUUGCG
rnacentral:rRNA from 1 species